UCGAGCGAGAAGGUUAAGAUGGAUUCUUCGGAUGACAGAUUAACUGGAAAGCGGCGGACGGGUGAGUAACGCGUGGGUAACCUACCCCAUACACAGGGAUAGCCAUUGGAAACGAUGAUUAAUACCUGAUAACACAUAAUGGUCGCAUGACUAUGAUGUCAAAGAUUUAUCGGUAUGGGAUGGACCCGCGUCUGAUUAGCUAGUUGGUGAGGUAAAAGCUUACCAAGGCGACGAUCAGUAGCCGACCUGAGAGGGUGAUCGGCCACACUGGAACUGAGACACGGUCCAGACUCCUACGGGAGGCAGCAGUGGGGAAUAUUGCACAAUGGGCGCAAGCCUGAUGCAGCAACGCCGCGUGAGCGAAGAAGGUCUUCGGAUCGUAAAGCUCUUUUCUUAGGGAAGAAAAAUGACGGUACCUAAGGAAUAAGCACCGGCUAAAUACGUGC
rnacentral:rRNA from 1 species